GGUAAUGCCGGAUGUUCCACAUGAUCGCAUGUGAUUGUGGGAAAGAUUCUAUCGGCGUGGGAUGGGGUCGCGUCCUAUCAGCUUGUUGGUGAGGUAACGGCUCACCAAGGCUUCGACGGGUAGCCGGCCUGAGAGGGCGACCGGCCACAUUGGGACUGAGAUACGGCCCAGACUCCUACGGGAGGCAGCAGUGGGGAAUAUUGCACAAUGGGCGCAAGCCUGAUGCAGCGACGCCGCGUGAGGGAUGGAGGCCUUCGGGUUGUAAACCUCUUUUGUUUGGGAGCAAGCCUUCGGGUGAGUGUACCUUUCGAAUAAGCGCCGGCUAACUACGUGCCAGCAGCCGCGGUAAUACGUAGGGCGCAAGCGUUAUCCGGAUUUAUUGGGCGUAAAGGGCUCGUAGGCGGCUCGUCGCGUCCGGUGUGAAAGUCCAUCGCUUAACGGUGGAUCUGCGCCGGGUACGGGCGGGCUGGAGUGCGGUAGGGGAGACUGGAAUUCCCGGUGUAACGGUGGAAUGUGUAGAUAUCGGAAAA
rnacentral:rRNA from 1 species